GUAUGAAGAUAUGUUCGAUGAAGACGACGCUAGCAAGGUUACCCUUCCGGCUUGGCCUGGGCAGGGUUAUGGACGCCAUCGGUUAUCUUCAGGACUCGUAGUCCAAUUUGAAUCUUGUCCGUACUCGGACGUAUUUGAUUUUCUGUAUGAUUUGGAUCUUUGUAUGUAUCUAUUUGUAUCUUGACUCGUUGGAGUCGUUGUUGUAAUAUAUGUAUCUUGUGGGCUCUAUUGUAAACCUGUUGUAAUGUUACUACUCGUGGUAAUUCCUCUGGCAUCACGUGUGCUUCGUCGCGCACGUCGUGUCGGAGGGCGUGUCGGAAUCGAUAUCGUGCGGAUUUCGGCGGGAUCGCAGGAAUCCUCAGGGUACCGGUUCUGGGGCGUCACAAGUUGGUAUCAGAGCUCAGGUUGACGGUACCUCACAAGUUGGUAUCAGAGCCUCAGGUUGACGGUACCCCACUAGUCCAGCCUUUAUGAUAACCUUGCCAACGGUCGUUGAGUUUAGAGAGUCCAAACUAUUUUCUAAAACUCGUUGGAUAGUUCUGAUUAGCUCUGAUUUUUCUCCUUACCUCCAUUCUUUCUCCUCUUACCUCUGCGGGUUUUGAGUCUUCUCUCUUAUCUGAGUUCUCUGAGUCUUAGGUUCCGACGUGGGUUGGACGAUCUUUGCCUUAUCCUAAUAGGUUCGAUCUUCGGAGGAUCCGACAGAAACGCAUCAUCAACAGCGGAACAAUGACUUCUUGUUAGUGGUGUCGCCGAUCUACGUGGAGCAACAAUUCUCGUUAGUGGUGUCGAGGAGAUCGAUACGCCGCCUGAAGACUCGAUAGUUCACCUCUCUUCCCCGUACCUGGACGUGGGAUCUCGGGGCGCGAUCCCUUGUUAGUGGUGUCGAUUGUAACGGCCCCGGGUAGCACCUCUAUUAGUUUUGCUUGUUCUUUUCUUUUUAUGCAUCAUCAUGUCAUCAUGCAUCAUCGCAUUCAUGUUUUAACAAAACAAAAUUAUUUUUAUAAACUCUAUUUCAGUUUUUCCUUCUCAUAUGGUCCUAUAAUAAACCAUCCCCCUUUAUCUUCUUAUUUUAAAAUAAAACCCUAACCCCUUCUAGGCUUCCUCUAUCUCUCCCUGGCCCAUCCCCCCUCUUCCUUCCCCUUUUCCUUUCCCGGUGGUCCAAGCCAACACCACAGCAGCCCAUCUCCACCUUGGCCUGCUUACCCUUUCGAUGAAAAGGGCAGCCUCCUUUCUUUCUUGUCGUCUUUCUCCCUUCACGAGAGAAAGCGUGAGCCCCCCUCUCAUGUCGUUGUCCACCAGGGCACCGCACCACCACCCCUCACCUGCUCCCUCCCCCUCCUUUAUCUUUCAGCGCCAAAACCCUAGCCUCUCUUCCCCUCCACGCCGCCGCCACAUACAUCGCUCCAUCUUUUCUCUAUUCUCUGUGAGCAAACGAAGAGAAAGAAAACCCCACUGCCACCAUCCUCUUCACCAUGGCGCCGCCGCUCCACACCUCCCCUCGCCGAGCUGAGACCACCAGAAGAUCCGCACCGUCGCCAUCUUCAUCCCCUCCAAAGGAAUCGAGCCGGGGCUCGCUUAAUCAACGUCAAAAUCGCCGAUUCCCUCUCCAACUCCGGCAAGAAAGUCCUCAAUUCCGGCCGCCUCCGACCUCCACCGACCCUUCCGAGCACGUCCACACAUUCCAGGUGACCGUGCGCAUCCCCGACACCAAUCGCCUCGUCCCGGUUUGCUCCGAGUCGCCGGAUCCAUGAAUGACCAGAGCUCCUCCGCCAUGGGCUUCAUCCUCGUGUUCCGUGAGUCUCCUUCAGGUUGCUGGGCGCCCAUCUCAUGACACCAUCCACGCAGCAGCCCGACUGAUCUCGCAGACACAAAAGGAUAUUAACAGUGGAGCCUUUCCAAUUCCAUCAACAACAUCUAGCCCAGCUGAUAUGUUGGAUUUUUUGUUGAUGGGCCUCAGCCCAGAUCCGUCGAUGCAUCCCAACGCCUGCGUGUUCAGAUCAGAUCCGGCCCAGAACAUCGCAGCAUUUGCUUCUUCCCGGAUAGGAUCACGAAGUGGUGCGGUGAGAUACGCCAAGUUCUCCGGAUGUUCCUCGGCAAGCUUUAACGAGCAAGCAUUUCCCCUAUACUUCUGCCCCUGCAGAAGUCGCUCACCUAUUUUAUUUUGCCUUCUCCCUCAUGCUAUCCUUAAGUUGCGUUCUUGUCACGUGUCCUUUCCACUUGUUAUCUCAAGCAGCCCAUAUUGCCACCACCACCUCCUACGGCUAUUGUUUGGUUAUCGAGUCUGCCCUUGCGAGUCGUAGUGCAUGCUAGUGGCGUUUUAUCUCGUUACCGUUAUUUGUUAUCUUAUCGGGUUAUAUGUUGGGAAGAAUCAUGGUUACUUUAGUUGUUGACAUUUGUUUAGCGGAGGCAUCGGUGGGUCAGCUGCUCGUUUUGUGACGGCUCACUUGUGUUUCCUAAAUAUCUUAGGACCCCGAGUUCUUGUUAUCUGUUCCGAGACUGAGCGCUCUAACCACACGUGGGUAUGCUUACCGGGUCUCCCCUCGACCACUGCCGGAAUCUACAUCUUUGUCCAGUGGCCACAAUUAGUUUCGUGAUGCUUUGUUUCUCUCGGGCGUGCAAGCAUGUUUCUUUGUGGUCAGAUGAUAUGAUGUUACUUUUGGGGAAGCCGUGUUGCCUUGUAACCCCGUUGUCUCUUGCACGCUCGUAGGAUGCGGUACGUAUUGUUAAGAGAUCAUCCUCUAGUGGGCUCUGAUCCUCUUAGCCGUAGACGCAAACGACUAAGUCCGCUUCGAGCACGGCCGGACUUCGAUACGGGUUAACUUAGUUAGGUGGCUUCCUGGACAUUGUUGUAGUGAAGGAGAGUGCGUGUCGUGAUAUCCACCUGUCGUAAGUGGGUUGAUCGUGCGUGUGGGCACAUUUGGGCACCCCUGCAGGGUUAUAAUCUUAUCGAUAAGCCGUGUCCGCGGUUAUGGACGACUUGGAGCUGUAUGACUCGACCAUAGACAACUUACACCUGCUAUUUCAAUCAUAAUAACUUGUGUAGUAAGUUAGCACAACUCUAAUAAUAAAUGGUUAAAACUUGACAACCGUGUGAGUGCCUUUAUAAGUACUUCUUGGCGAAGGGGGAAAGUAUCGGCUGUGUUAUGUUUGCAGAGUAUAGAACUGUUAGUUUAUGCGCUCUCUCAUCUUCUCUGAUUAGACGAGUGUUGUAGAGUGUCUCUAUAGGUUUUUAGUGCUUGCGCUGCCGCUUAACUCCACCAUAUUGCCUAUGACGUCCCUCUUGCGUCCUCUAAGUCCCCUGCGUGCCUCAAGUACAAAGGACGACUGGUUGACGAAUGCUUAUACGUCUUGAAGUCUUGUUAAGUACGAACCCGUACUUAUUGCUGCUUCUACGGGAUAUAACCAGGCGGGUAUGAAGAUAUGUUCGAUGAAGACGACGCUAGCAAGGUUACCCUUCCGGCUUGGCCUGGGCAGGGUUAUGGACGCCAUCGGUUAUCUUCAGGACUCGUAGUCCAAUUUGAAUCUUGUCCGUACUCGGACGUAUUUGAUUUUCUGUAUGAUUUGGAUCUUUGUAUGUAUCUAUUUGUAUCUUGACUCGUUGGAGUCGUUGUUGUAAUAUAUGUAUCUUGUGGGCUCUAUUGUAAACCUGUUGUAAUGUUACUACUCGUGGUAAUUCCUCUGGCAUCA